UUUCCGUAGGUGAACCUGCGGAAGGAUCAUUAUUGAAUGAAUGUAGCGUUGGUUGUAGCUGGUCUUCUCUAGAAAUGUGCACGCCUUUUCUUUCAUCCACACACCCCUGUGCACCUGUGAGACGGAGGCUGUCCUCUUUUACUAGGGGCUGUUUCCGUCUGCCAAUACAUAAAACCAUAUUAUUAAAUCUGAAUGUAAUUGAUGUAACGCAUCUAAUACAAAGUUUCAACAACGGAUCUCUUGGCUCUCGCAUCGAUGAAGAACGCAGC
rnacentral:misc_RNA from 1 species